AUGAGCCUCCUCGACGCGCUAUGCUGUCUGCUCGCACUGCUGUUGCUACGGCUGUCGACGGCGCAAGCAUCCGGCUUGCAAAAGAGCCGGCCGGCGAAUGGAACCGUUCCCUCCUCCGCCACGCUUGCCGGUUGUCGGAAGAGCUGCGGCAACCUGAGCUUUGAGUACCCUUUCGGCAUCGGCGCCGGCUGCUUCCGGGACCCGGACUUCGAGCUCAUAUGCGACAACCACAACACCACGCAGGCCCCCAUGCUCUUCCUGCACGACGGCAUCACCAAGGUACACAUGGACAUCAACGCUACUACCCACUGGAAGAUGAGCAUGAGCAACACUGAAUUGCAAAUCAAUAAUGAAUUUCUAGUAUCAUUUUCCCGUACCAUCUAUUUGAGACCGGACGUCCACAUAUACCACAUCUCAUGGUAUCCUGGGAGAUCUUUCCGUUUUCUCGCCAUGGAACCAGGCAUCAUAGGCUGCGACUUCGACGUCAGCAUGCUCGAAGAUUCCACACAAACGAUGGUGCGACGGUGCACAGUUACAUGCCCCAGCAGAAAUACCACGGCCGAUGAGGACGGUGGACGGAACUGCAACAACACAAGAGGAUGCUGCUCCUUCAUGGUUACUGAUGUUGGCGCCACCGUCCGGCUCAAGUUCGUACGCCGCCCAAGGACAGGAGGGAAGCAUGAAUCUCAAGGGCACAACAGCCGAAGCUCCAUCCAGGAUAAAAUCCAUGUUAGCAUUCGAGCUAGUCUGUCGUGGGGUGUCGUGGACGAUCAACUCACAUCGCCUGGAAGCUUCCAAAAUAGAACAGAUUAUGCAUGUCUCAGCAACCACAGUGGAGAAGCACCGCAAAUUUCAGCAUCACCCUACUACUUUUAUAAUUACUUUUAUAAUUGUCAGUGCGACAAUGGUUACCAAGGCAAUGCCUACAUAGCCGAUGGCUGCUCACGCGACAAAGGGUACAGACAAUUACAACAGAAGACUAACUGCUCUAGAUGGUGCGGGAACAUAAGUAUUCCGUUCCCUUUCGGCCUAGGACGCAGGUGUUCUGCAAGGAUGUCGUUCCAGCUAAAAUGUGCAAAUUCAACGACGUCCACACUAAAUUUCUAUGCACCGAGCUUCACGGAAAAGCAUAUUGAAUACAUAAAUAUCAACGAGGGGCUAGUUGGUAUUACGGCCUCAACCUAUACUGAAGGUCAAACUACUUUCAUUGUAAGAGAGGACCCUGCGCUCUACAUUGGCUUAGGGAUAUCAACAUCUUUCCGAUGGGCCGUCGCCAAUUUAACAUGCCAGGAAGCUCAAGAGGACUUAACAAGAUAUGCAUGUGUUAGUACUAAUAGCACAUGUUUGAUUGUCAACUCGAGACAAGGAUACCCUGCCGGUUACCGUUGCAAAUGUAUGGCUGGCUAUGAGGGGAAUCCAUAUAUCACAACCGGGUGUCAAGAUAUUGAUGAGUGCAAGGCGCCGGGUAUUUGUAAAGAAAUCUGUAAUAACAUUAUGGGAAGCUACUAUUGCACCGAAUGUUCUGGUAAAACAACGUAUGACACUACAACAAUGAGGUGCAUAUCCAUAAAAAGCCAAAAUCUUGUAGUAGGUAUUACCAUCGGGAUUAGUGUUGGCCUCGGUGUUCUACUUCUUAUCUUGAGUGUUACAGUUCUCAUCCGCAGAUGGAAAAGAGGCAUCCAAAAAAAACUUCGUGGAAAGUACUUCCGAAAGAACCAAGGCCUCCUACUGGAACAACUAAUUUCAUCGGAUGAAAACGCAAGUGACAGGACCAAGAUUUUUUCCUUGGCAGAGCUAGAAAAGGCAACAAAUAACUUUGACUCCACACGUGUUGUUGGUCGCGGAGGGCAUGGCAUGGUGUACAAAGGUAUAUUAUCUGACCAGCGGGUAGUAGCCAUAAAAAAAUCUAAAGUUAUUGAGCAAGUUGAGAUUACUCAGUUCAUCAACGAGGUCGCUAUCCUCUCGCAAAUAAACCACCGUAAUAUUGUCAUGCUGUUUGGAUGUUGUCUUGAGACGGAAGUCCCACUACUAGUAUAUGACUUCAUCCCAAAUGGUUCACUAUUUGGAAUCCUCCAUGCUAACCCAACCAACGACUCCAUGUUGUCCUGGAAUGAUUGCUUGAGAAUUGCUACAGAAGCUGUCGGCGCACUUUAUUACCUCCACUCAGCUGCUUCAGUAUCAAUCUUUCAUCGAGAUGUCAAGUCCACGAACAUACUCUUGGAUGGAAAUUACACGGCGAAAGUAUCUGAUUUUGGUGCUUCAAGAUUGGUUCCAAUUGAUCAAACUCACGUGGUUACAAAUAUACAAGGCACCUUUGGAUACUUGGAUCCGGAGUAUUACCACACGGGCAUACUAAAUGAGAAGAGUGAUGUUUAUAGCUUUGGUGUAGUACUUGUAGAGUUGCUUCUAAGAAAAAAGCCUAUUUUUACAAGUGACUCUGGGAUAAAGCAGAAUUUAUCCAACUACUUCCUUUCUACGAUGAAUGAGAAACCACUUGCAGAAAUAGUUGAUGCUCAAGUGCUGGAGGAGGCAACAGAGGAAGAAAUUCAUGAUGUCGCUGCUCUUGCAGAGACUUGCUUGCGGCUCCGAGGCGAUGAGAGGCCUACUAUGAAACAAGUGGAGAUGAUAUUGCAGGCUGUGCGAUCCAAAAGGUUGAGAUCGUGUCAGGUUGCUCCAAGAAAUGAAAGUAUGCAACCAUUCUUAUGUGGACAAAGCCAGGUCACACGUCGGCCGGUGAUUGCUGACAGAGCUAACUCGGCUUCUGAAAUGAGCCAUAAUUGCUACAACCUGGAGCAAGAGUUUAUGGCGUCGGCGACCCUACCACGCUAG
rnacentral:rRNA from 1 species